rnacentral:RNase_P_RNA from 2 species
CGAGUCAGCUAGGCAGUCGCCGUUCAUUCUUAUUCGUAAGCGUGAAGGGAGGAAAGUCCGGGCUCCAUAGGGUAGGACGCCAGGUAACUCCUGGGGGGCGCAAGCCUACGGAUAGUGCAGCAGAGAGUAGACCGCCGAUGGCUUCCUCUAUUUCGGUAGAAGAAGCACAGGUAAGGGUGAAAGGGUGCGGUAAGAGCGCACCGCACGACUGGUAACAGCUCGUGGCAUGGUAAACCCCGUUCGGAGCAAGACCAAAUAGGAACUCUAUAGGCGUGUACCCGCGCUGAGUUCGGGUAGGUUGCUAAAGUGUUGCGGUGACGUAACGCGUAGAUGAAUGACUGUCCACGACAGAACCCGGCUUAUCGGUUGGCUCAAAUA